rnacentral:rRNA from 1 species
UACGUAGGAGGCAAGCGUUUGUCCGGAAUUACUGGGCGUAAAGCGCACGUAGGCGGCUUUGUAAGUUAGAGGUGAAAGCCCGGGGCUCAACUCCGGAAUUGCCUUUAAGACUGCAUCGCUAGAAUUGUGGAGAGGUAAGUGGAAUUCCGAGUGUAGAGGUGAAAUUCGUAGAUAUUCGGAAGAACACCAGUGGCGAAGGCGACUUACUGGACACAUAUUGACGCUGAGGUGCGAAAAGCGUGGGGGAGCAAACAGGG